UUCGUGAGCUGCUGAAUAACCAAAUCUUAGGACUCGCUCUCACACGGACGGACGGACGUACAGGCGCAGAUGCAAUCUGUCAAUCUCCAAAUAGCCAAACGUUGUUUACUCUACUACUCUGAAGAGGAAUGUCUCUGCGAAUGUCUCUUCUCUCUUUUGUUUAAGUGUAACCUGGAUGUGGACCUGAGGGCCCAGUGCUCCGAUGUGGACUGUGCCUUCAGCCAGCGAUGUGUACAGCUCACUGAGGCCAAGACACGGCUGAAACUGCACCUGGCCCAGAUCCUUUGUUUCGGACCUCCACCAAGAGGACAAAAGCUUCAGCCCUUCCUGCCUCUGGUUCAGAGUCUGAAAUCACACCACGGAAGCCUGGGGAUGUGAGUGGUAUUCGUUUCUUUUGUUGCUUCAUCCUUGAUUCUGCCCAAAAAAAAUAAAAAAUAAACCUUGAGCAGGAGUGAGUGUGGUUAGAAUCAAGGACAGGGCUAAAAGACAGAGACCUUUCUUGUCUCAGAAGCCACCACUCAAAGAUGUUUGGAUCUACUGAUAAGGAAUGCGCAUUGAUUAUGGAAUGGGUAUUUGAAUUGCGUGCCGUCUAAUUUGGCACACCGACCUAGAUGAAAGUUGUUGCUCCUCUUUGAUGGAAACUCUCCAAACGGUCAUGAGUUGGCAGUUAAGAUUUGAUGAGAAUGCUGAGUUUUGUUGAUGCUUUUGAGGUGUUCAAAUUUGACGUCCCUCGCUCAAGGACACAAUAAUAGACAAUUGCUUCUCACGUUGGCCUAAGGAAAGCAAUCCAUUUGUACGUCAAAUAUUCACAAAUCAGAAACUAAACUGACUACACUGAAACACAUGCAGACUGCCAUUGUAGUGAACACACACACGCACACACACUCUACACUGUCUCUUUGUACUGUCUCAAAUACACUGUCUUUAUCCGAGAUGCACUCAGAAGUAAAAGUAUUCCACUUCUAAAAGCUUCAAAGUAUUCCCCUUCUAAAAGCUUGAAAUUGUAGUUGCUGGGUUGAAUGAACACAUCUAAAAGACUGAACACAUCUUAAAGACUGAACACAUCUAAAAGA
ensembl:lncRNA